GUUAGAUACCAGCUCAGCGGUUAGAUACCAGCUCAGCGGUUAGAUACCAGCUCAGUGGUUAGAUACCAGUUCAGAGGUUAGAUACCAGUUCAGCGGUUAGAUACCAGUUCAGAGGUUAGAUACCAGUUCAGCGGUUAGAUACCAGUAGAUACCAGUUCAGAGGUUAGAUACCAGUUCAGCGGUUAGACCACCUUCCUCUGAUCAAGACAUGAACUGUCUCACUGAUGGGUUUUUUACGCUCAACAGUUUCCCGUGUGUAUCAAGGACCCCCAUACAGGUAUUCGGACACGGCCAAUGUCUCCAUGAAGGGAUAAAAUAUGUUUGAUAUGUAUUGGUACAACCUAGUGGUCAUCAACAAUAUUACAGCCUCAGAGAGAU
rnacentral:lncRNA from 1 species